GGGCUUGGCUGGGCGUGGCUAAACACGUGGUGACAUAAGACUUGAAAAUGAAGAGGCUGCCAGUUGAUGAAGAUUUGACUCCUGAAGAUGCAGUAAUGGACGAGAAGGCGAUGGCUAGAAGGCAGCUUUGGGGCAGUGUGGCCAUGUUUGCAGCCAUCGUGGUGUCACUGAGAGUUGGUCCUUAUUUAUGGAGGUUUUUGACUAGUUGAUUAUAAAGAUUUAAUAUUAUGAUUUAAAUCAAUGUAAAUCAUUUAUAAUAGUAAUAAUUCUGCUCGGUAAUAGUUAAAUAAUAGUUAUUAAAAACGGGGUGUGAUCAUAUUCCAGUCGAGAUUAGAUCGUAUUUUUUCACUUAUUUUGUG